GAUGAACGCUGGCGGCAGGCUUAACACAUGCAAGUCGAACGCCCCGCAAGGGGAGUGGCAGACGGGUGAGUAACACGUGGGAACGUACCCUUUGGUUCGGAAUAACUUGGGGAAACUCAAGCUAAUACCGGAUAAGCCCUUAUGGGGAAAGGUUUACUGCCGAAGGAUCGGCCCGCGUCUGAUUAGCUAGUUGGUGAGGUAAUGGCUCACCAAGGCGACGAUCAGUAGCUGGUCUGAGAGGAUGAUCAGCCACACUGGGACUGAGACACGGCCCAGACUCCUACGGGAGGCAGCAGUGGGGAAUAUUGGACAAUGGGGGCAACCCUGAUCCAGCCAUGCCGCGUGAGUGAUGAAGGCCUUAGGGUUGUAAAGCUCUUUUACCCGGGACGAUAAUGACUGUACCGGGAGAAUAAGCCCCGGCUAACUUCGUGCCAGCCGCCGCGGUAA
rnacentral:rRNA from 1 species